AUCGCUUCUCGGCCUUUUGGCUAAGAUCAAGUGUAGUAUAAAGUUGGCUUCUUUAGUUUCCUAGGCUCAUGAAUUGGACUGGAAGCUUGUAGUACCAGCCUAAUGCCUCCUUCGGAUAUUUAUUUUGAGCUAAAAGGUCAUAUAGAAAUAUUUUAUAAAUAAGAUCAUUUUAUAGGAUUGAGCUAUCUCACCAUACUGUCAUUCACAUGUACUGAAACCACU
ensembl:snRNA U2 U2 spliceosomal RNA